UACGUAGGCAGCGAGCGUUGUUCGGAAUUACUGGGCGUAAAGGGCUCGUAGGCGGCCAACUAAGUCGGACGUGAAAUCCCUCGGCUUAACCGGGGAACUGCGUCCGAUACUGGAUGGCUUGAGUUUGGGAGAGGGAUGCGGAAUUCCAGGUGUAGCGGUGAAAUGCGUAGAUAUCUGGAGGAACACCGGUGGCGAAGGCGGCAUCCUGGACCAACACUGACGCUGAGGAGCGAAAGCCAGGGGAGCAAACGGG
rnacentral:rRNA from 1 species